rnacentral:lncRNA from 1 species
CGGCCCUUCUGCCCCUUCGCCCAUCUCUUGGCACAGAGGAGGCUCCGAAACCUCCUUCCACCGGGGAGCAACCAGGAGAGCCGCGCUGCAGCGCUGCGGGUGCUCACACCUCUGCAUGGACACCCUCUGCUGUCACUUCCUUCGUCUCUUAGCAACGUUCGUGCGGCGCCGGGGUCACCACACCCCGACCACAUCGCACACAGCACAGCCAACUUCCAGAGCAAACAACAUCAGCUCAGCCCUUCUGGCAUCUCGUCUGCACGGCUCCAACGGGAGCGGUUCGGGUGGAAAUUCCCUGGCCUGGGCUCCCAUGGCCACUCUGCAUGGC